AAAAAUAUUGGUUAAUUGGUAAAACAGUUAAUUUAAAAUCAAUCAUUAGGAGUUCAAGUCUCUUUAUCCCUG
rnacentral:tRNA from 1 species